AGCGAACGCUGGCGGCAGGCCUAACACAUGCAAGUCGAACGAUCCUUCGGGAUAGUGGCGGACGGGUGAGUAACACGUGGGAACGUGCCCUUUGGUUCGGAACAACUCAGGGAAACUUGAGCUAAUACCGAAUGUGCCCUUCGGGGGAAAGAUUUAUCGCCAUUGGAGCGGCCCGCGUCUGAUUAGCUAGUUGGUGAGGUAAUGGCUCACCAAGGCGACGAUCAGUAGCUGGUCUGAGAGGAUGAUCAGCCACACUGGGACUGAGACACGGCCCAGACUCCUACGGGAGGCAGCAGUGGGGAAUCUUGCGCAAUGGGCGAAAGCUUGACGCAGCCAUGCCGCGUGAAUGAUGAAGGUCUUAGGGUUGUAAAAUUCUUUCACCGGGGACGAUAAUGACGGUACCCGGAGAAGAAGCUCCGGCUAACUUCGUGCCAGCCGCCGCCGUAAAAC
rnacentral:rRNA from 1 species